UACGUAGGGGGGCUAGCGUUGUCCGGAUUUAUUGGGCGUAAAGAGCGUGUAGGCGGCCAUGUAGGUCCGGUGUGAAAACUCGAGGCUUAACCUCGAGAUGUCAUCGGAAACCAUUUGGCUAGAGUCCGGAAGAGGAGAGUGGAAUUCCUGGUGUAGCGGUGAAAUGCGCAGAUAUCAGGAGGAACACCUAUUGCGAAGGCAGCUCGCUGGGACGUAACUGACGCUGAGACGCGAAAGCGUGGGGAGCAAACAGG
rnacentral:rRNA from 1 species